UGCCCCAAGGGCCAGGCCGGCUGUGUGCGGGUCAGAGAAGGCCACCAGGGCACUGAAGAUGUCAGGUGCACCAUUCCCAAAUGCCAGGAAGGUGACGCCUGCCACGUUGUGGGAGAGCUUCAGUGUGGUAGAAAUGGCCGACAAGUUGGGGCAGAAACUACGGAGAAAAAGCGGACGGGAAGCAUUUCCGUAGUAACCGGCCCCGGACCCCUAUCCUUCCCCCAAACUGAGGGUGACCGAAUGUCAGCCUCCUGGGACCCCUCCUCCCAUUGAUAAGCCAGACCGGAGCCCAGAGCCAAAC
rnacentral:lncRNA from 1 species